UAUUUCGGGUAAUCGCUAUAGCAAUAUAGAGGAAAGUCCAUGCUCACACAAUCUGAGAUGAUUGUAGUGUUCGUGCUUGAUGAAACAAUAAAUCAAGGCAUUAAUUUGACGGCAAUGAAAUAACCUAAGUCAUUUGAUAUG
rnacentral:RNase_P_RNA from 1 species